rnacentral:rRNA from 1 species
GGAGGAAAGCAGGGGAUCGCAAGACCUUGCGCUAAAGGAGCGGCCGAUGUCUGAUUAGCUAGUUGGUGGGGUAAAGGCUUACCAAGGCAACGAUCAGUAGUUGGUCUGAGAGGACGGCCAACCACACUGGGACUGAGACACGGCCCAGACUCCUACGGGAGGCAGCAGUGGGGAAUUUUGGACAAUGGGCGAAAGCUGNAUCCAGCCAUGCCGCGUGAGUGAAGAAGGCCUUCGGGUUGUAAAGCUCUUUUAGUCGGAAAGAAGAGUUGCAAUGAAUAAUUGUAUUUAUGACGGUACCGACAGAAAAAGCACCGGCUAACUACGUGCCAGCAGCCGCGGUAAUACGUAGGGUGCGAGCUUAAUCGGAAUUACUGGGCGUAAAGGGUGCGCAGGCGGUCUUGCAAGUCAGAUGUGAAAGCCCCGGGCUUAACCUGGGAAUUGCGUUUGAACUACAAAGCUAG